UUCUGUGUCGUUAGUCUAUGCCAAUUGCCAUGGCAACUAUUUGUUUAUUUAUAUUUAAUUGGUGAAUUCUUGUGACUUUUGCUUACACCUGCGCGGAAGUGACAAACUAUCUUUGUCUUUUUUGUUUAUAUCAUUUUAUUAGAGCCAUCUCUCUUAUACAGUCUGUCAAUGUAAUAAAUUAAGUAAAAUGAAACUUGUAUUUGUGUGUGCCUGACACUGCAUAGGAAGCAUUUUUUUUGGAUAUCUUGUGAGUAUAUAACGUAUCUAUACAUAAAAUAUCAUUGGUAAUACUUUAUUGGACGGAUACAUUUUAACCAAGGAUUGAAAAAUC